UUAGCUGAAGCUCAGUCUUGAGCAUUCCGUUGUUACCGGAAAGGUUGAUCAAAGGAUCCAGCUUUU
rnacentral:tRNA from 1 species